UGGCUCAGUGGUUAAGAGUGCUGGCUGCUCUUCCAGAGGACCUGGGUUCAAUUCCCAG
rfam:Rattus norvegicus chromosome 10, whole genome shotgun sequence.